rnacentral:rRNA from 1 species
GACGAACGCUGGCGGCGUGCCUAAUACAUGCAAGUAGAACGCACAGUUUAUACCGUAGCUUGCUACACCAUAGACUGUGAGUUGCGAACGGGUGAGUAACGCGUAGGUAACCUGCCUGGUGGCGGGGGAUAACUAUUGGAAACGAUAGCUAAUACCGCAUAAUAUUAAUUAUUGCAUGAUAAUUGAUUGAAAGAUGCAACUGCAUCACUACCAGAUGGACCUGCGUUGUAUUAGCUAGUAGGUGAGGUAACGGCUCACCUAGGCGACGAUACAUAGCCGACCUGAGAGGGUGAUCGGCCACACUGGGACUGAGACACGGCCCAGACUCCUACGGGAGGCAGCAGUAGGGAAUCUUCGGCAAUGGACGAAAGUCUGACCGAGCAACGCCGCGUGAGUGAAGAAGGUUUUCGGAUCGUAAAGCUCUGUUGUAAGAGAAGAACGGGUGUGAGAGUGGAAAGUUCACACUGUGACGGUAUCUUACCAGAAAGGGACGGCUAACUACGUG